rnacentral:rRNA from 1 species
UAACAUGAGAGUUUGAUCCUGGCUCAGGAUGAACGCUGGCGGCGUGCCUAACACAUGCAAGUCGAACGAAGCACUUAUCUUUGAUUCUUCGGAUGAAGAGGUAUUUGACUGAGUGGCGGACGGGUGAGUAACGCGUGGGUAACCUGCCUCAUACAGGGGGAUAACAGUUAGAAAUGACUGCUAAUACCGCAUAAGCGCACGGAGACGCAUGUCUUUGUGUGAAAAGCCGAGACGGUAUGAGAUGGACCCGCGUCUGAUUAGGUAGUUGGUGAGGUAACGGCCCACCAAGCCGACGAUCAG